AGAAUGGUCAAUCCUUAUCGUAACAGAACGACCCGCGAACGAUUGAUCAUCACUCUCGGUAAGCCGGUGUCUUAGCUGAUUCCGUGCCCGCCGAUUCCGUGGUUAUGCGUGUGGUCUCAGCCAAGAUUCAUAUCUCGGUUGGGUCAUGCGCCUAGCUUCCGGAUAUCACCAAACCCCGGCACGAAAAGUGUCAAGGAACAUGCAACUAAACAGCCUGCGUUCGCCUACCCGGAGACGGUGUUUGCGUGGACGUUGUGCUGCAAUCUAAAGUCUAAAACGACUCUCGGCAACGGAUAUCUCGGCUCUCGCAUCGAUGAAGAACGUAGCGAAAUGCGAUACUUGGUGUGAAUUGCAGAAUCCCGUGAACCAUCGAGUCUUUGAACGCAAGUUGCGCCCUAAGCCUUCUGGCCGAGGGCACGUCUGCCUGGGUGUCACAAAUCGUCGUCCCCCCAUCCUCUCGAGGAUAUUGGACGGAAGCUGGUCUCCCGUGUGUUACCGCACGCGGUUGGCCAAAAUCCGAGCAAAGGACGCAAGGAGCGUCCCGACAUGCGGUGGUGAAUUAAAACUUCGUCAUACCGUCGGCCGCUCCUGUCUGGAUGCUCUCGAUGACCCAAAGUCCUCAACGCGACCCCAGGUCAGGCGGGAUCACCCGCUGAGUUUAAGCAUAUCAAAACGGGGAAAGAAAAAAAGGA
rnacentral:rRNA from 1 species